rnacentral:rRNA from 1 species
AGUGAACGCUGGCGGUAGGCCUAACACAUGCAAGUCGAACGGCAGCACAGUAAGAGCUUGCUCUUACGGGUGGCGAGUGGCGGACGGGUGAGGAAUACAUCGGAAUCUACUUUUUCGUGGGGGAUAACGUAGGGAAACUUACGCUAAUACCGCAUACGACCUACGGGUGAAAGCAGGGGAUCUUCGGACCUUGCGCGAUUGAAUGAGCCGAUGUCGGAUUAGCUAGUUGGCGGGGUAAAGGCCCACCAAGGCGACGAUCCGUAGCUGGUCUGAGAGGAUGAUCAGCCACACUGGAACUGAGACACGGUCCAGACUCCUACGGGGGGCAGCAGUGGGGAAUAUUGGACAAUGGGCGCAAGCCUGAUCCAGCCAUACCGCGUGGGUGAAGAAGGCCUUCGGGUUGUAAAGCCCUUUUGUUGGGAAAGAGAAGCAGCAGGUUAAUACCCCGCUGUUCUGACGGUACCCAAAGAAUAAGCACCGGCUAACUUCGUG